GUAACACGUGGGUAAUCUGCCGUGAAGUCUGGGAUAACUCGCUGAAAGGCGAGCUAAUACCGGAUGUGAAUGUAAAUUCAAAGUUGGGGACCGCAAGGCCUGACGCUUCACGAUGAGCCCGCGGCCUAUCAGCUAGUUGGUGAGGUAAAGGCUCACCAAGGCUAAGACGGGUAGCUGGUCUGAGAGGACGACCAGCCACACUGGAACUGAGACACGGUCCAGACACCUACGGGUGGCAGCAGUCGAGAAUUUUUCUCAAUGGGCGAAAGCCUGAAGGAGCGACGCCGCGUGGGGGAUGAAUGGCUUCGGCCCGUAAACCCCUGUCAUUUGCGAACAAAUUGACUCACUUAACACGUGUGUCAUUGAUUGUAGCGGAAGAGGAAGGGACGGUAACUCUGUGCCAGCAGCCGCGGUAAUACAGAGGUCCCAAGCGUUGUUCGGAUUCACUGGGCGUAAAGGGUGCGUAGGCGGUCGGGUAAGUUCGACGUGAAAUCUCCGGGCCUAACCCGGAAACUGCGUUGAAUACUGCCUGGCUAGAGGAAUGGAGGG
rnacentral:rRNA from 1 species